CAUGUUUCCUGGCUGGAGAACCACUUAUUUGUUUAAUAUUUAUUUUUAAACUGAAGAAUGAAGAAAAUAAAUUUCAAAACGUCGGAGUCCAAAAGAAUGUGGCUAAAAUAUGUACAUGAAAUACUGUACUAAAACAGUCCACAGUCAUCAGUAAAUGCAUAUCCAUUAACGGGUGGAAAAAAAGUAAAGAAGAUCAAAAGCCCAGUAUUAUGCAUUCAUUGUUGGUAUGACUUAUAUUGUUGUUAAAAGAUACUCCAUCUCCUGUCUACUAAAUAUCAGACAUUACUCAUUUUUGCUUAAGAAACAUUUCCCAGAUGGUCUCAAUUUUAUUUUGUGUGCUUCCUAGAUCUGACUGUAUGUCCAAAGUCACCUGUUUCAAGAGUACAUUGUGUAUCUCUCUCCAUUAGGAAUAAAUCACUGAUCUCAUCUUCAGUAUUUUAAAGUAAAAAGAUUAAUUCUCUUUGGAUCAUAAAAUACUAGGACCAAUUUAAAUGAAACAUGUGACAUUUGCAUAAAUUUGUUCUUGCUUUGGUUUUGGUCUUCUCAUUUUAUUCAAACACAAAAAUUCUUGUAACACUAAUAAUAAACUCUACUCUAUCCUCACGCUGUCUUGCGGCUGCAGCUACUGGACCAAGAUAGCUCUGGACUAUCAAUGCUGGUACUAGAUACUUCUAUAUAAAUUUUUAUUAUAACUCCAACAUCUGAAAUGUAAUGGAGAUUAUAGUUCAUUAAUGUUACUAUUCUCUUUAAAUAUGGCGCCUGUUUAUUUCUACCUGUUUUUACAGAACACUCAUAAGACCCUAUUCUGU
rnacentral:lncRNA from 1 species